AUGGACCAUUCCAUCCCUUUUUCCCGUGCAUAUGCAUCGGACUCGGAUGACGAUGGUCCCGAUGAACAAGUUGAUGCGGAGGGGUUCACGGUGAAGGAGGCCGAAGCUUUCGAGAAGGUAUUUGGUCGGGAUCAUCGGACUACAUUGUUCAAGGAUGUUAGUCUCGCGGAUGAAGCCGUGGUAGAUGGUGGCCAAUGUGUAGCUCUUGGGGUUAGGCCAAGCUCUCACCGUGAUUUGGUAGACGACAAGAACCGGAUUGCUAAAGGUUCUAAGUUUGACAGCUUGUUGGAUUUGAAGAUGUGGCUCGACAACUACUCAGUUACGCAUUAUCGUCCACACAAGGUGGUGCACUCGGACGUCAAUGUGCGCUACACGGUGGCGUGUGCAUGUGAAGAUGAAAAGGAGGUCCAACUUGGACUUACAAGAGGCCGUGGUGGUGGUAGAGGUCGUGGAAAGGAGGUCCAACAAGGAGUGGCAAGACGCCGUGGCGGUUGUCCGUGGAUUGUGCGUGCAAGACCAUGGAAAGGAGGUCCUACUUGGCAUGUAGUGAGUUGUGUGCCAACUCACAUGUGA
rnacentral:rRNA from 1 species